rnacentral:lncRNA from 1 species
AUUGAAACCCAGCAGAGGAGCAGGCAGGGAAGGGAGGGUGGAAGGACAGAGGCUCCCCUUUCUUCUGGGCUUGGUUCCGGAGGAGGCCAAAAGAGAGUUUACCAGGGAAGCAAUUUGAAGGCAAAAGUCCACUCUAAAGUGAAGGUUUGCUGAGUUGAAUGCCAAAGAGUCUUCGAAGGACGAUUUCCAUUCAGGGAGAUCCGGUUACCCAGCUCCUAGAAAAGGAAGAAGACAUUCCUUAGGGCAGCAAUCCACACAUUGUUGGAACUAAAACAGUGGACACUGUGGAGACACAGGAUUUGUGAGUCUUUAGAUGGACUAACUUUACCCAUCCAUGCAGGAGCCAUGGAUAAUUUUAGACAGACAGGCAACUGAAGAAAGUCCCCCAAUGUCACUUACAGUGGGAUGAUGCUCCAGGUACAACAAAGAGCAAAAGACCAGCUAUGCAUAGAAAUCCUGGUGCAUAGCAUACUAAGGAGGAUUAUUUAAAAACGAACAAAGGUAUAUUUUUAAGUCAGUUCUGACUUCUAAGGUAGGAGUUCAAACUAAGCCAAAUUUCAUGAACAUAUCAUCAUUGAAACCAUGAUGGCUGAACUUCUUGUAAAAGGACCUCAUGCUUGGAGGACCUCUGUGUGCCUGUGAACUUAACCAACAUGUACGAGAUAAUGACCCCAGGACUGCUGUGUGCAGCUAAAGCAUCACGAUUAUUAUGUAAUGAUAUGGUGUUUGAGGUUUGGUGGAUGGUAAGAAUAAGGUAGAACCUGUAAAGACAGAAAUUCAAGAAUCCAGCAGCUCAAGAAGGAGGGAGAGAGAGGAGCAACCCCUGCAAUAAAUCUUGGCAUCUGAGGUUGUAAUCGAUGGAAUUCUUGCCCAGUCUAUCAUAAGGUUUCCAGAGGAGAGAACCAACCUGGAUACAAGAGGCAGAGCUCAAAGGACUUUCUCCCCUACUGUGAUGACGAUCCCAGUAUUUACUGCCACCAGUAUUGAUCAAAGGUACCAGAUCUCCUGUCAAGAGACAUUGUACUGAAUGGAAGAACUUCUUGAUAUUCUCCUAAUAAAGGAUACAAAGUCUUCCCGGAUAACCUGGAUGGUGAAAACUGUUCCUUCAUGGAAUGUCACCAUGUGGCACAAUCAUACUUCACUUGAGCCAUAGAAAAUUCAAACACUCCCAAAACAACUAGUACACCAUGGAGAGAGAAAAUCUAAUGGCUUCAUGUUAUAGUUUGAAUUUGAAAUGCUCCCCACAGGUUCAUGUAUUUAAUUUGGUGAUACCAUUUGGGAAUACUGUGUGACAUGUAGGGGUCACACCUUGAUGGGAGAAGUGCAUCACGAGGGGCGGGCCUUGAGAAGCCUAGUCCACUUCCUGUUUACUCUACAUGUUUCACAACUAUGUAUGCCAUGUGACCAGCUGUCCUCUGGCUCCAGCUGCCACUCCCUCCAUGUUGUGAUGGAAAACAGUCCCUUGAACUAUAAAAGAGAAUAAACAGCCAAGUCCCAAC